rnacentral:misc_RNA from 1 species
UCUCCGUAGGUGAACCUGCGGAGGGAUCAUUACCGAGUGAGGGUCCUUGUGGCCCGACCUCCAACCCCCUGUCUUCCGACUCUGUUGCCUCGGGGGCGACCCGGGCCCGUCGGCUUGGGGCCCCCGACGGACAAUUUCAAAACACUGCAUCUUUGCGUCGGAUUACAAAGUUUAAUGAAUUAAAACUUUCAACAACGGAUCUCUUGGUUCUGGCAUCGAUGAAGAACGCAGC